UGCCAUUGCUAAGUCAAGGCUUCUUCCCGUGCAUAUUUUCUUGCCACCUCUCUAUGGAAGUAUUUUGUCUGUUACAGCUUUGGUAGAUGAAUUCUAGCCCGCCGCCUUGGUUUCUUUCUGAAAUUGGGGUUGACAAGCGAUCGUUUUGAGAGCUCUGUCGUAUAGGGCUUGCUGUGUCUUGUUUUGAGUUGAGUCCUGCUUCCACUUCAUUUUUGUGGCACCAUAGCAGUUCUCUUAGUAACAUCUCACACAUUG
rfam:Blastomyces gilchristii SLH14081 genomic scaffold supercont1.1, whole genome shotgun sequence.